AAAUAGAGACAUGAUACUCACAACACACCAGAUCCUAUUUGAUCUUAGAAACUAUAAGCAGGGCCAGCUCUGGUUAGUACUUGGGUGGGUGACUACCAAUGGAUGCCAGGUGCCCUAUUUU
rnacentral:rRNA from 1 species